rnacentral:tRNA from 21 species
GCCGGGAUAGCUCAGUUGGUAGAGCAGAGGACUGAAAAUCCUCGUGCCACC